GGGCGGGGGCACGGGGGGAACGCGAAGAACCUUACCAAGUCUUGACAUCCUCUUGACCGGCGUGUAACGGCGCCUUCCCUUCGGGGCAAGAGAGACAGGUGGUGCAUGGUUGUCGUCAGCUCGUGUCGUGAGAUGUUGGGUUAAGUCCCGCAACGAGCGCAACCCUUAUCCUUAGUAGCCAGCAGGUAGAGCUGGGCACUCUAGGGAGACUGCCAGGGAUAACCUGGAGGAAGGUGGGGAUGACGUCAAAUCAUCAUGCCCCUUAUGAUUUGGGCUACACACGUGCUACAAUGGCGUAAACAAAGGGAAGCAAGGCAGUGAUGUGGAGCAAAUCCCAAAAAUAACGUCAACAGUUCGGACUGUAGUCUGCAACCCGACUACACGAAGCUGGAAUC
rnacentral:rRNA from 1 species